UACGAAGGGGGCUAGCGUUGCUCGGAAUCACUGGGCGUAAAGGGUGCGUAGGCGGGUCCUUAAGUCAGGGGUGAAAUCCUGGAGCUCAACUCCAGAACUGCCUUUGAUACUGAAGAUCUUGAGUUCGGGAGAGGUGAGUGGAACUGCGAGUGUAGAGGUGAAAUUCGUAGAUAUUCGCAAGAACACCAGUGGCGAAGGCGGCUCACUGGCCCGAUACUGACGCUGAGGCACGAAAGCGUGGGGAGCAAACAGGG
rnacentral:rRNA from 1 species